CAAACCGACACAGGUGGGUGAGGAGAGUAUCCUAAGGCCAGCGAGAGAACUGUUGUUAAGGAACUCGGCAAAAUGACCCCGUAACUUAGGGAUAAGGGGUGCCACCAUCAGGUGGCCGCAGAGAAUAGGCCCAAGCGACUGUUUACCAAAAACAUAGGUUUCUGCUAAGUCGCAAGACGAUGUAUAGGAGCUGACGCCUGCCCGGUGCUGGAAGGUUAAGGGGAUCUGUUAGAGCAAUCGAAGCAGUGAACUUAAGCCCCAGUAAACGGCGGCCGUAACUAUAACGGUCCUAAGGUAGCGAAAUUCCUUGUCGGGUAAGUUCCGACCCGCACGAAAGGCGUAACGAUUUGGGCACUGUCUCAACAACAGACUCGGUGAAAUUGUAAUUCCGGUGAAGAUGCCGGAUACCUGCGACAGGACGGAAAGACCCCAUGGAGCUUUACUGUAGCUUGACAUUGGGUCUUGGUACUACAUGUACAGGAUAGGUGGGAGGCUUUGAAACCAGGACGCCAGUUUUGGCGGAGCCAUCCUUGGGAUACCACCCUUGUAGUAC
rnacentral:rRNA from 1 species